rnacentral:rRNA from 1 species
AGAGUUUGAUCCUGGCUCAGGAUGAACGCUAGCGGCAGGCCUAAUACAUGCAAGUCGAGGGGCAGCACUUACUUCGGUAAGUGGCGACCGGCGCACGGGUGAGUAACACGUAUGCAACCUACCUUUAACUGGGGCAUAGCUCGAGGAAACUCGAAUUAAUUCCCCAUAAUAUAAUACAUUAUCUCAUGAUAUAAUUAUUAAAGAUUUAUUGGUUAAAGAUGGGCAUGCGUCUGAUUAGUUUGUUGGUGAGGUAACGGCUCACCAAGACUUCGAUCAGUAGGGGGUCUGAGAGGAUGAUCCCCCACACUGGUACUGAGACACGGACCAGACUUCUACGGAAGGCAGCAGUAAGGAAUAUUGGGCAAUGGGCGAAAGCCUGACCCAGCCAUGCCGCGUGCAGGAUGACGAUCUUACGGAUUGUAAACUGCUUUUAUAUAGGAAGAAAAUACUCUUGCGAGAGUAACUGACGGUACUAUAAGAAUAAGGACCGGCUAACUCCGUGCCAGCAGCCGCGGUAAUACGGAGGGUCCAAGCGUUGUCCGGAUUUAUUGGGUUUAAAGAGUGCGUAGGUGGUUUAUUAAGUCAGUGGUGAAAUCCUGCAGCUCAACUGUAGAACUGCCAUUGAUACUGAUAAACUUGAGUUUGGUUUAGGUAAGUGGAAUUUAUGAUGUAGCGGUGAAAUGCAUAGAUAUCAUAAGGAACACCAAUAGCGAAGGCAGCUUACUGGACCACAACUGACACUGAGGCACGAAAGCGUGGGUAGCGAACAGGAUUAGAUACCCUGGUAGUCCACACCGUAAACUAUGAUCACUAGAUGUUGGCGAUAUACAGUCAGUGUCUUAGAGAAAUCGUUAAGUGAUCCACCUGGGGAGUACGUUCGCAAGAAUGAAACUCAAAGGAAUUGACGGGGGCCCGCACAAGCGGUGGAGCAUGUGGUUUAAUUCGAUGAUACGCGAGGAACCUUACCAAGGCUUAAAUGUAAAACGACCGGUUGAGAGAUCGACCUUUUUUCGAACGAUUUACAAGGUGCUGCAUGGUUGUCGUCAGCUCGUGCCGUGAGGUGUCGGGUUAAGUCCCAUAACGAGCGCAACCCCUAUUUCUAGUUGCCAGCGAGUAAUGUCGGGAACUCUAGAGAGACUGCCCGUGCAAACGGAGAGGAAGGUGGGGAUGACGUCAAAUCAUCACGGCCCUUAUGUCUUGGGCUACACACGUGCUACAAUGGUCAAUACAGUGGGAUGCCAUCUGGUGACAGAGAGCAAAUCCAUAAAGUUGAUCCCAGUUCGGAUCGGAGUCUGCAACUCGACUCUGUGAAGUUGGAAUCGCUAGUAAUCGCACAUCAGCCAUGGUGCGGUGAAUACGUUCCCGGGCCUUGUACACACCGCCCGUCAAGCCAUGGAAGUUUGGAGUGCCUGAAGUCAGUAACCGUAAGGAUCUGCCUAAGGUAAAACAAGUAACUAGGGCUAAGUCGUAACAAGGUAACC